CGUUUCUCCUCUCCUCAUCACCGGAUCUGGGAUCAAGGAGAUCUGUUGCUCUAGGCUUGAUCUUAGAGGUUUCGGCCACCACAGCUUCAAUUGGGGAUUGGUUCCUUCAUCGGUUCUAUAAUCAACACCAGUGAUUGAAGUGGAAGAGGUAGCAGGUAAAGGAUUUAUGGAGUCGCCUGGAGAUCCUGUCCGCCAGUUC